UUUGACCUCGGAUCAGGUAGGGAUACCCGCUGAACUUAAGCAUAUCAAUAAGCGGAGGAAAAGAAACCAACAGGGAUUGCCCUAGUAACGGCGAGUGAAGCGGCAACAGCUCAAAUUUGAAAUCUGGCUUCCUUUGGGGGU
rnacentral:rRNA from 1 species